UAACCCUAACACCAGUCAUUAGAACUUCAAAACAGAAGAAAAAGGGUAAAACUAUCGAAUCUUCUUCAUCUAAUAUAAUAAAAAAAGAAGACACCUUUUUGAGUACAGUGAAGAAGCUUCAGAAAAGUCAAAGGUCUCAGGAAGAAGAUGAGGUAGAGAUUUUAUCCAAGGAUGGUUAUAGAACCAGCAACAAGGGAAAAUUGAAUCUAAAUGGCCAAGAGAUAAACUCUUGUUCUAAUGGAACUUCAAAACAGAAGAAAAAGGGUAAAACUAUCGAAUCUUCUUCAUCUAAUAUAAUAAAAAAAGAAGACACUUUUUUGAGUACAGUGAAGAGGCUUCAGAAAAGUCAAAUGUCUCAGGAAGAAGAUGAGGUAGAGAUUUUAUCCAAGGAUGGUUAUAGAACCAGCAACAAGGGAAAAUUGAAUCUAAGUGGCCAAGAGAUAAACUCUUGUUCUAAUGGA
rnacentral:lncRNA from 1 species